CUCCUUUGACGUUAGCGGCGGAGGGGUGAGUAACACGUGGGUAACCUACCUAUAAGACUGGGAUAACUUCGGGAAACCGGAGCUAAUACCGGAUAACAUUUGGAACCGCAUGGUUCUAAAGUGAAAGAUGGUUUUGCUAUCACUUAUAGAUGGACCCGCGCCGUAUUAGCUAGUUGGUAAGGUAACGGCUUACCAAGGCGACGAUACGUAGCCGACCUGAGAGGGUGAUCGGCCACACUGGAACUGAGACACGGUCCAGACUCCUACGGGAGGCAGCAGUAGGGAAUCUUCCGCAAUGGGCGAAAGCCUGACGGAGCAACGCCGCGUGAGUGAUGAAGGGUUUCGGCUCGUAAAACUCUGUUAUUAGGGAAGAACAAAUGUGUAAGUAACUGUGCACGUCUUGACGGUACCUAAUCAGAAAGCCACGGCUAACUACGUGCCAGCAGCCGCGGUAAUACGUAGGUGGCAAGCGUUAUCCGGAAUUAUUGGGCGUAAAGCGCGCGUAGGCGGUUUCUUAAGUCUGAUGUGAAAGCCCACGGCUCAACCGUGGAGGGUCAUUGGAAACUGGGAAACUUGAGUGCAGAAGAGGAAAGUGGAAUUCCAUGUGUAGCGGUGAAAUGCGCAGAGAUAUGGAGGAACACCAGUGGCGAAGGCGACUUUCUGGUCUGUAACUGACGCUGAUGUGCGAAAGCGUGGGGAUCAAACAGGAUUAGAUACCCUGGUAGUCCACGCCGUAAACGAUGAGUGCUAAGUGUUAGGGGGUUUCCGCCCCUUAGUGCUGCAGCUAACGCAUUAAGCACUCCGCCUGGGGAGUACGACCGCAAGGUUGAAACUCAAAGGAAUUGACGGGGACCCGCACAAGCGGUGGAGCAUGUGGUUUAAUUCGAAGCAACGCGAAGAACCUUACCAAAUCUUGACAUCCUUUGAAAACUCUAGAGAUAGAGCUUUCCCCUUCGGGGGACAAAGUGACAGGUGGUGCAUGGUUGUCGUCAGCUCGUGUCGUGAGAUGUUGGGUUAAGUCCCGCAACGAGCGCAACCCUUAAGCUUAGUUGCCAUCAUUAAGUUGGGCACUCUAGGUUGACUGCCGGUGACAAACCGGAGGAAGGUGGGGAUGACGUCAAAUCAUCAUGCCCCUUAUGAUUUGGGCUACACACGUGCUACAAUGGACAAUACAAAGGGCAGCUAAACCGCGAGGUCAUGCAAAUCCCAUAAAGUUGUUCUCAGUUCGGAUUGUAGUCUGCAACUCGACUACAUGAAGCUGGAAUCGCUAGUAAUCGUAGAUCAGCAUGUUACGGUGAAUACGUUC
rnacentral:rRNA from 1 species